rnacentral:rRNA from 1 species
UACGUAGGGUGCGAGCGUUGUCCGGAAUUAUUGGGCGUAAAGAGCUCGUAGGCGGUGUGUCACGUCGGCCGUGAAAACCUGGGGCUUAACUCUGGGCGUGCGGUCGAUACGGGCAUCACUAGAGUUCGGCAGGGGAGACUGGAAUUCCUGGUGUAGCGGUGAAAUGCGCAGAUAUCAGGAGGAACACCGGUGGCGAAGGCGGUUCUCUGGGCAUUACCUGACGCUGAGGAGCGAAAGUGUGGGGAGCGAACAGG